UUUCAGAGCCUUCGGCACCGGCGGAGGCACGGGAUCGCGGCAAGGGGAUCGCUUAGCUAGCUAGCGAGGAGCGGUACUUUGCCUAGGUGGUUUACUCUUUCUUUUGUAGUUGAGAGAGUGAGAGGUUUUUGUAUCCAUGUAUAGAGACCACCUAUGUAUCUACCUAUAGCACUUGUAUCUGGGAUUUUCUUGUAUCACUUUAUGAUUUAUUUAGUGAAUUUACAGUUUUAUCCUUAUCCCUUAUUGUAGCAUUUAGACAUUUAUUAUGCUCUGAUACUCCUAAAUGUCUUUUAUUAUUGCUUUUAUUAUUGUUGUUUUUAAACGCCUUAUAUGUUUUAGACGUAUGGCGGGUCUGGGCACGUGCCGGGCGGGCUUCCGCUGGGUCCCGGGGCUUGACAGGACGUGUCGGUCUCCUAUACACUGGAGUGAUGUAGGUGAGCGUACAGAGUUCGACCCCGAUGUCCUGCGAGAAGCAGAGGAGAAAGUCCGUCUUGCUCGCAAGAGGUUGCUCACGGCGCAGUCGAGACAGCAAAGCUAUGCAGAUAGGCGGCGUCGAGAUAUAGAAUUCGCGGUAGGUGACCGCGUAUUCUUGAAAGUUUCACCGAUGCGGGGUGUGAAGCGGUUUGGAGUGCGGGAAAAACUAAGCCCCCGAUACAUUGGACCAUAUGAGAUAUUGGAGCGAGUCGGCACGGUGGCCUACCGACUUGCUUUACCGCCGAAGCUUGCGGAUGUACACAAUGUGUUCCAUGUCUCCAAUCUCCGCAAGUAUAUUCACGACCCCGAGCAUGCAAUGCUAUAUGAACCGCCGGAACUUCAAGGAGACUUGAGCUAUGAAGAGUUUCCGGUAGGGAUUAUCGCCCGAGAGGUGCAAAAGUUAAGGAAUCGAGAAAUUCCCUAUGUGAAGGUCAGGUGGAGCACUCACGAGGAUCGCGAAGCCACCUGGGAACUCGAGGAUCUGAUGAGAAAACACCACCCUCAUCUGUUUGAGGAAUAAGGUAAGAAUUUAAGUUAAAGUUAAGAAUCGAGUUCGUUUCGAGGACGAAACUCUUUUUAAGGAGAGGAGGAUGUAAGGACGUGAAUUCUCGAAAUCCGAGGAUUGUACUUCAUUCAGGAUCAACUAAUUGUCGAGAGAAUAUCCUUUGUGGGAGUUGAAAAUGUCCAAAACACAAAAAGUGCUUUGGAGUUGAGUCCGCGAGAGCAAAUGGUGCAAAUUGCAUCAUUGGGCUGAUGAUACUCUCGGGGACCGGUCUCUGGAGGUGAGAAACCGGUUCCACUGGCUGGUCGUAGCGGGGUUGCUUGAUGCAACCGGUCCCUGGUAGGGAGGGACCGGUUCCCGAACGUGGUUCCAGCAAGAAAUGCCGAAAUUUGGCUAAGUCCUGAAAAUCGAGCUCUCGGGGACCAGUCUUUCAGGUGAGGACCGGUCUCCGGGGAAGAGACCGGUUCCCGAACGCGUGCGCCCGAGGGAGGCCCUCAGGAAUCGGUCCCAAGUCGGGGAGACCGGUCCCUCCGCACGAAAUCUGCCCAGUAAGAGCAGUGUAUAGGAUUAAAAGUUGAGGGAUUUUUAUGCAAAAUGGCAUUAGUUAGGGAGGGGAUUAGAGGGGCUGAGCCCUCUUCCUCUCUCACCCUCACUCAUACUUUCUCCCUCUCUUAUUCUCUCUUGCUCUUUCUCUCUCUCUAGAAAAGAAAGGAGAAGAAGAAGAACAAGAAGGAGAGGAAGGAAAAGAAGGAGAAGAACAAGAAGGAGAAGAAGAAGGAGAUCAAGAGGAAGGCUUUGGACACCUUCAUCUUCCUCUCCUCUUCUCUUUAGUGUAGCACAAGAGGUAGGCUCUUGAACCCUAGCUUCUAGAAUUUAGGGUUUUGGGUUUUUAUGCCUUGGAAUGGGUCAAAUGGACCCUAAGCAUGCUUCUAAAUAGAUCAAUCCCAAGAAUCUAGAAAUUUAUUGAAUGGUUUGCUAUGGGUGCAAACUUAGGGCUCCAAAAUGGGGUUUUUGUGAAAGUAUGAGAUUGAUCUCAUUUGAAGCCUUGGAAACCCUAUUGUUAGGUCACAAAACGUGGGGGCGAAGUCGGUUUUAGCAUUCGACGAGCCGGCGUGAAGUUCUCGGCAAAAUAGGGCCGGGUUAGCAUCGACUUGGGCAAGGAAGGCUAAAGCCUUUUCGUGAAGUUCGCCGAGGAGCGUUUCCAAAGCCUCUACAUUGAUAAAAGGUGGGGGGUGCCAUCUCGAAGCUUUCGAACUCCUUUCUAUAUCUUAGAUUGCAUUUAAUCUCAUCUCUUACAUGUUGCAUUGUAGGAUUGCAUAGUAGCUCCCUUCCUUAUGCUUUCUAAAUGAUAACCUAGUGUACUUGGAACGCUUGGUGACUUAGAUAGGUGAGGAUUGGGUCGGAACAUGGAUUCUAUGAUGCGAAAGAAAAGAGAUGAACCCGAUGGGGGAUGUUGAUGACAUAGAAAGUAGUGUUAAUGUCAAAGAACAAACGAGUGGCAUCUAAACGCUAAAUGAUGACGAGUGGCAUUAAUGUAGUGUAAAUGACACUAGAGGUUUGAGAACCUAGGGAUAGGUGGAUCCCUUAGAAAAUGCCCUGUGGACAAGAACUUAGUAAACCUAAGUAGCCUCACAUGGAGAGGUUGGCGAUGAGUCGAUUGAGACAUUGACCCUAGUGGUAGGGCAUCCUCACUUGGAGAGGAUUUGAUUGGGUUGUGGACCCUAGUGAUAGUGCUUCCUCACUUGGAGAGGAUUCGAUUAGAUUAUUGACUCUAGUUGUAGAGCAUUCUCACUUGGAGAGGACUUGAUUGAGUUGUUGACCCUAGAUGUAGGGCAUCCUCACUUGGAGAUGAUAGAUCUAGCUCACAGUCUGCGUUUGGGAUGGUAUAGCCAUCCAAUCCCCACAUGGAGGGGAUUGUCGUCGAGUACUCCGGAGUGUCGCGCGACUAGGACCACUUGGAGGUCCGGACCACAUGGAGGUCCGCAGACGGUCCCGGGCUUGGGUGCACUUGGAGCUCCCUCCCCACUUUGGGAUUGAAAGGUGAGUUAUAGGCGAACCCUAGGGCUUCGCCACAAAUUAGGUAAAUGAAAAGGUAAAGGUUUAAUAAUGUCAUUGAACAUUGCUAUUCGAACAUGGAUCGAAUUUGUUAGCAUGGUAGCAAACCUUUAUUAAAUGAUGCAUGCAUUCAUAUUCUUGAUUAUGGGCAUAGUAGCAUAGUUUUCCUACUAUCGCAUUUACAGUUUUCAGAUACAUAUCUAUCUAUCUAUCUGUUGUUACUUGUGCCUACUUGGACCUAGUGGGGAGAUCGGCAGAGUCGGCGGCCGAGCCCACUGGGAACUAUGGAAGAUAGUUCUCACCCUACUCUAUUUCCAGUGGUAGGUACAGGGCUGCCGAGAGAGGACCGCGGCAAAGGCAUCGCGCCCGAUCAGUGAGACCGUGGUAGUAUAGUAGCUUUCCUUUUUGCAUUAGUACACCUAUGUAUUGAGAGAGAUUCAUUGUAGGUGAGGACUUGGAGAGCUAUGUAUUUUAGAGAUGAAAAAUGUAUUCAUUUAAAGAAAAUGAUGUAAAUGAAAAUGAUGGAACUAUUGUAAUAGUUAGUAAAGUACUCUCUUUAUUUCACAUGUGUACCUUGUGGAUUGCUUGCUCUUUGUAUUGUUGGCACUGUUUGUACCCUUGCGGAUGUGUAUGUUUAGAAUUUAAAUUCCCGGGUAAAUUCUUGUACACAUUCCCGUUGUUGAGCCUUGGGCGGACAUGGGAGGUGCUGUAUGUUCGGCGGUCCGCUCGCCGCGCCCGAAUCGUGCCAAAUUGGUAGUGGUUUCGGGGCGGGACCUGACAGUAAUAGUCACUAGCAACCCAUCGGUCUAGUUCUAUGUCUCAAAGUGAAGUUUCAACAUUCACUAAAUUUAAUGCCUCUUUAUGACAUUAGAACAUUACUAUAUCCAAGCAUAUUCCAAAUUCGAUGCCUCUUUAUGGCAUUAUUAGUAGGAUCAUACAUAACUCAAGCUCAAUGUCGCCUUAUGACAUUAGCUCACUAAUUCACACAUCAUUCAAGUCUAAUGCCUAAACCCAACAUGAAUAAUUCUCUACUACAUAGAGGUUCAAAUAUACUUUGUAUAUAACAUGUGCAUUCUAGGCAUUCUAAAAUUCACAAAUAUUACAUCUAGUAUGAAUAUGCAUAAAAUUUUAUUUUACGACAAGUAUAAUCAUCAUAUGAGAAUUUUUAUCUCAUUUUGGUGAGGCCAAACCCACCAAGUCUCAUCGAAAUCCUUUGCUUGCGCAAAAGGAGUUGUCCACUAUUCUCCUAGCACCCUAAAGGUAAUAAAAGGAGAGUUAAACAAACAUUACGAACAUCCCUAUGGUCGAUUAUUAACUAUAACGUAUCGAAACCUCGAUAGCGAUUAUCGAACUUUAGCCAAAUUGGUUAAAGUGCCGAGAGAAAUGGAUAGACAAAGUCCGGUUGACAUUCCAACAAUGUUGGAAGGGUCAAAGUCGAGUCCCGAGAGUGUUAAGCAAGUUUUAGCAUUGCUCGGCGUGAUUUAAAAGUGAACAAUGCGAAAGAAAUAGUUGGGUAUGUUCCAUUAAGCGUUCCAACAAUAUUGGAAGGGUUAAAAAGGAGUUCUAAAAGAGUUAAAAGGGUCUUAGCAUCAAAUGGCGCGAAAUAGAAUAAAAAACGGCGCAAAAUCAGCAUUCUGGGCAAAGUGUACCGGUACAACCAUCGAGUUGUCACCGGUACAACCCUGCAGACCGAGAAGAGCUUGCUCUCGGGUUUGAGAGAAAAAUCGAAAGUGUACCGAUACACUUUAAAAGUGUACCGGUACAAAUCCUGCGUAACCGAGAAACAUGCUUUCGGGUUGGCCUCUGCGCAAUCGUGUAUUGGUACAAAUCCAAUGUGUACCGGUACACUUUGGUCUGGCAGCACCAAUUUGGUCUGCUGCAAAUAAAAAGAAAUGGGGGGCCUAGAUGCAAUUGUAGUACCUUAUAAAACACCCCAACACCUCUCUCUCCCUCUCCCACAGCAAACACACACCUCUUCUCUCAUUUCUCUCUUUCUCUUUCUUAAGAUCACUUCCAAGAGCCAGGAGGUGAAGGAGGAGAAGGCUUUGGAGGGAUUUUUGGUGGUUUUGAAGGCUUGAGAUCUCUCCUACAAGGUGGACAUUGGAGAGCUUUGGGCUAAGGUGAGGUGUUUUGUAACAAUAGGUCUAGGGUUUGGUUAUAUGCCCUAGAAAACUAGGUUUUGUUCUUCUCUCAUGUAUAGAAACCUAGUAAUGGCUUAGAACACAUGAAAACCCUAGUUUUCUUCAUGUGCUCUAAUGGUGAAUUCCUAGGGUUUGCUUAUUAUGCCCUAGAAAUGAUUUAGAUAGUUCUAAAUGAGCUUCUAGAUGUUGAACAAGCUCUCUUUUGCUUGUUUUAGAGAUCAAAAUCUAGAUUUGAGCAAAUGGUGUUGUUAGGGCACCAAAUUUAGAGCUUUUGCCCUAGGGAGUUUCUAAGGCAAAUUAACCUUGUACAAAACCUAAUUGGGGGUAUUCCCGACACGUUGUGCAACUCGGUUUGACGUUACGAAAAGCCUAUGUAGGAGUUCUAAGUAUUAAGCCUAAUUUGGCUUCGUUUUGCCGCAGGCGAUAAAGUAGAGCUUCAAAAAUUCCAAGAAAUUCACCGUAGCACCUUUGCAACCAUACAAGGUGGGUGAUGCAUACCAAGGACCUCGGAAUUCCUUUUAUAUCUAAAGUGUCAUAUUUAAGCAUAUGUAUGUAUUGAGCAUAUUGCAUAGUAGGGGUAAUUGUGAGCUUCUUAUCGCAUGUUGUUGGUUCAAAUACAUGUGAAAUGCUAAUGAGACAAUGAGAAUUUAUAAACCCUAUGUAUGCAUGAUAAGUGACAAGAACCUAGCGGACUUAGUAAACAAAUAUGACAUGUGGAUAUGAGUCGUAGAGAGUGGCAUCUACUAGUCUUGAACACUUAGAGAACAAGUGUGGCAUCAUUAUAUGAGUACAAAGAUCAAGCAGUGUAUAUGACACUAGUAAAGGUUAACGAAUGCAAGUAUACAAAGGUAGCGACAUUAUGACAUAGCAACCUUAGAGUUAAGGGUCAUAUGUGUAUUACUUUCUUAUAGUUAAGGAAUGGAUUGAAGUUGACAUUCUUAUAGUUAAGGAUUGGAUCAUACUCACCUGUAAGUCCUUACUCGAGGGUGGUAGCUCCCCUUCGAGCGAUGUGCUCCGGAGUUGUCAUCACUGGAUCGUAGCGAGUAUCUCCCCAGAGGACAGUCCCGUCGGGUUGUAGCGGGUAUCUCCCCGAUAGUAGGGAUUUGGUUGGUGAGUUGUUGAGGGCGAAACCUACGGGUUAGCCAAGAGAUUGGGCAAUGAGAUUGUGAUCUUGCAUUCAUCAUCAGCAUACUAUUGAGCAUUGCAUUGAUUAUUGUUCAGGCAUAUUAGCUGCAUUUGUAUAGUUUGGUUACUAUCUAUAUCUCUUUUCUUCUAUUAUGUCUGAUUUAGACCUAGUGGGAAAGUCGGCGUGGUUGGUUGCCGAACCCACUUGAAACUUUGUUGUAGUUCUCACACCCCAUUUUUCACAGAGCCGGGACCGAGCGAGCUGGCAGACGAUCGCGGUAAGAGUAUUGCGCCCUAGACAGAGACCGCCCGAGAUACUUUACAUUUUGUAGUUGCAUACCCCUUUUAUAUAUAUCAUCUUUUGUACUUGGACGAUGAUUAGGGAUGUUAGAGCAAAUGUAUUAAAGAUACUUUACGAUGUUAAAUGUAAAGGUUUAUUUUGGAGAUUUGAGAUGUACAAAAGAAAUGAUGCAAAGACUGUAAAAGAACUUCGAAGUUGAAUGCAUAUAUGUGAUUUAAAUUUAAUCAUAGUGCUUGUAUGUUGAUUAGUUAGCACUUUCACUUUGGCUAUUGCUUGCCCUCGUGCAAGCCAUUAUGUAUGCUUCCGCAAGUACAAAUUUUAUACUCUAUCUGUACCUGUUGUUGAGCCUUGGGCGGACAGGGGAGGCUCUGUCCGUUCAGCGUCUGUUCGACGCACUCGAACCGGCCAAAAGGAUCGGGCUCGGGGCGUAACAUUAACCAUCUCAAGAAAAGGGACAAAACUCACCUAUAGAGUGGAAAGCCCUUCUCGAACUCCAAAUGGGAGCUAGAACCCUUCGAAUCCAACCUAGAGGAAGGUUCUAAUCCAAACAAUUGAGCUCCAAAAGCCCUAAAUCAAAAAUUCCCAAAUUAGACCCUAAUUCCUCAUUUCUAGGGUUUCUACACAAAAACCAUGAAAAUCAUGAUCUAUAGGGGAAAAGUAUGCAACUAACCUCUUUAGAUGCUCCAAAAGACCUAAGAAACCAGCUAGGGUUGAAGAUCUUCCCUCUACCAAGCUUCAAACACGAACUCAAGGCUUCUCCAAUGGUGGAAGUUGCACCAAGAAGCAAAAAGAGAAGAUUUAGCCACCAAAAUCCAAGCAAAAAGAGGAAAAAAUCAAAGAAAAUGGAGAGCGAGCUCACCUCUCCUUCUUUCCUGUUGCAACACAAGAGCCCCAUCCAAGAGGUGUGGGGGAAUAUAUAGUGUUGCUACAAUUACAAAGAAAUCCCUCAAAAACUGUCAGACUGCAGUUUGCAAAGUGUAUCGGUACACAAAAAAGUGUACAGGUACAAAUCCAUAAUACGCGCGAACCCAAGGCUCGGGUUAGGAGAAACAGCAAUGUGUACCAGUACAAAUCGAAUGUUGUACCGGUACAACCUCUUGUUCCGGUACAACUUCAAUGUCGUACCGGUACAACACCCUACAGACCCCAACCCGAGAGCGGCCUAAGUUCUUCUCUUUGGAGACCUUAGGGCUAAGUCAAAAAUCUCGUUUCUCAGGAUGCGAGCCAUAGGUCGGUACACUGUCAACGACUCUCCAGAAUAGCUAGAAAAACUCGAAACAUAGGUCAAACACUCGAACCUCACAAUUUGCAAAGGUCCAGUGUGUUACACGCCUUAUAUGUGUAGGCAUAUGGCAGGUCUGGACACGCACCGGGCGGGCCUCUGCCGGGUCCCGGAGGGUGACAGUGUUGGCCGCGGCUUUUCCUCCGUCGUCAUCGUCGCCUUAGCUGGCCGUCGCCCUCUUGGGUCCUUUCUCAUCCACCUCGACCGCUCUUGGCCGGUGUCUACCUUUCUUGGCCGCCAAAGCCCGAGAGAAAGGAGACCAACCUUGGACUACCCAAGCUAAGGCUCGCUAUUGACCAACUAUACUAUUCCGGUCAUUCUCGCGAAAUGCCAUAAUGAGAUGCUUCACAUUGUGGUCAUCCCAAACAACGUGAUUUCAGUUUUGGAGUAUCCAUACAUGCUGUAUAAAGCCCGGGAAUAUCUUGGCUCGAAGCUCGUAGCGAUCGACAAGUGAAACGGUGCCCGUACACAUGUUCUAGUAUGCUUUUGGCCGUGUUUUCGCAAAGUAGGUGAUCGUUGUUGAUCACAAUGAUUGGUGGGCAUUAUUUGCUAGUUGGGGACUCAUUGUUGUGAAGCUCAGGCAAUCGAGUGACCAUAGACGGGUUCCGGAGCCAAAACAACACCUUUUUGGAACUGUAACAUACCAGAUUUUGGUAUAAAAAUAAAAAUAAAUAAAAAUAGUAUGAGAAACUAUUUUUAUUGGAUUUAUAGAAGCAAAACAUAAGUCAGAAGUGACUUGUGCUGAAAUCGGAAUGAAAACAGAAGAUUUAGAAUUUUCUGUUGAAAACGGGACAGAUAAAUUAGCAGAAAAUACACAGUCUCAGAAAAUUAUGAAAAUUGGAGGAUAAGUCAGAAAUAUUUUUAUGAGGCUAGAUUUAAAGUUUCAUAUUUUUCUGACACCCGAAAGGUGGAAAAUAAAAUCCGACAAGUUAUCUGAUAAAGAUUACAGUUCGGUACAGUUUUCGGUGACCAAAUGGGGUCGAAACUGAAAACUUAAGAUAUAUUCUUACUCAGUACGUUAAACUGAGACUGUCUGUCAAAUUUGAGCUCAAACGGACACUCAGAAGGGCCCCAACUGUUCCGAACUGCUAAACUGCCCUCGAGUGAAUAGUGUUGGAGGGUGUUAAUUAUAUAAGAAGCCUUUGCUUCUUCUCCUCCAGCCGACCACACACAUGCGCCACACCCACACACACGCAUGGAAAGGGAAAGAGAGAACCCACCCUUUCUCUCUCUAGAUCUCUCCCAAAAUUGAAGGUUUUGGUGGAGAAGCAAGCUUGGAAGUUGAUCUUCAUCUUCUUCGUCUUCUUCUUCUCCCUUGGAGCUAGCUUAAGAGAUAAGCUUUGAUGCCCUUUAAUGGUAGAAUUGUAGGGCUUCAAUUAUAUGCUCUAAGAAUGAAUUUAGUGGAACUCCUAGAUGCUAAAUAGAGGAUUAAUGCUUGAAUCAUGAAGCUAUAUGAUGAUUUCUUGCAUAGUUACAACCUAGGGCUCCAAAAUGCAAUUUUUGCUAAUAGAUGGGUUUGAUCUAUUUUGACCCUAUGUAAACCUAAUUGCUAGGUAAACGAACGCGUUGGCGAAGUCAGUUCGGCGAUUCGUCGAGCCGUUGCGAAGUUAUUAAAGAAACGGACGUUUAGGCUUCGUUUCUGCCUGGAGGGCCGAGGCGACAUCGUAAACUCAUGAAAAUGGAUUUGAAGCACUGUGGCACAUAACCGAAGACCUUUAAUUUUCGGAUCAUGGAUUGGAGGCCGUUCGGGUGGUCGCGCGAGCGAUCGGGCCAAACCGGGUGCCAGGUGCCGCGGUAGGCCGAUUGCAAGUGUCGACAAGCAAUCGGAAUGCGAAAUGAGGUGGGUUGUGCUUACCGAAGCGACUAGGUCGCCUGUAUGUCUAAGUAAAGUGAAUUCGUGUUGAUGCAUAUAAAUGCUAGAUGGAUGCAUGUAGUAAAUGCUAAAGAAAAUGCAUGCUAAAGAUGUAAUAUAAAUGAUGCUAGUUAAAAACAUGAGAUAAAUGACAUUUGCAUGUUAACAAAAAGUAGAGAACAUGCUACUUGUAAAGUAUAAUGAUAAGUUGUAAAGGAUGCUAAAUAAAUGCAUGAAUGAUGUGGUAUAGAAAUGCUAGAAUAUAUGCAUUGGUUAAUGUUAGUUGGAUGCAUGUCAUGGAAAUGCUAAAUGUAAGCAUGUGGCUAAUACUAAGAUAUACUUGAUAAUCAUGUUAUAGAGAUACUAAUAUUAAGAAAAGGAUAUGGGCAUGUGGACAUAUAUAUAUAUGCACAUAGAUCGAGUGGCAUUAAACCUAGAGUCAUGGAUAUAGGUUGAAUAUGGAUGAUAUGAACCUAGUGUCAAAGAACAUAGGUUGGACAUCAAGUGGCAUUAAACCUAGUGUCUUGAACAUAGGUUGAACAAGUAUAGUGUGAACCUAGUGUCAUGAACCUAGCAAAUACUUAUGGUAUUUGAGCAUACAUAUUUUGUAUCAUUCAUGCUUGAUAGGACUAAGUACAUGUGAACCUUGGUUGCUUUCAAUGACAUGUUCUAACGUAGUUGAACAUAGAGAAUGGUAGAACCAUAAUGGAUAUGUAUGUUAGGAUCCCAUAAUUGUGUGAAUGUGAGAGUUGGACUUGGACAUAGUAAAUAAAGGUGACAUGGACAAUAGAGACAUUGAUUAGCAUAGAGAACAUAAUUGUUAAAUAUAGUUUAACCAAGAGUGGCAUUGAGACAGGAAUGACCUAGAGAGCGGCAUGAAUAAAUAGGUAGAAAACCUAUUAUGAUUGUGGCAUUUGUGGAAUUGUGGUUUAUGGCUAUACUUUCCCAAAUUGGGAAUUGGAUCAUACUCACAUUGAGUCUUGGCUUGAGGGCGGUAGGUCCCCCUCAAGCGGUGCAUUCCGGAAUUGUCACCACGGGAGCGCGGUUCCUAAAGACGGUCCCUCGGGUCUUGCAGUGCUUAGAGCCUCCCCGAUCAAAAGAGAUUUUGGGUUAUGAGUUCGAGGGGAACUGGGUGAACCUCGAUGCAAUUGGGUAAAAGCCAAGUGAAUGUACAUUAAGCGUUAUGAGCUAUAGAUUGAGUAUCCCUGUCGAGUGGAUUUGGGGCUGAGGUGUAUGUGAGACGUCCAUUACCUCGAGUCUGGUAUUGAUGCGGUAUUCCGCAGUUGAUUGACUCGAGACCGAGUCGGUUGGUUAGCUUGGCUAGGGUAGAGGAAAACCUUAGGAGCAAGUAACCAAUGAUUGUAAAGUGACAAGAUGUAUAAAAUUAUGGAAAAGCUAUGAAUAGCAUGAUAGAAAGUAAAAUCCUUCAUUCUACUUGUAUAGUUGCAUGAUUCGUAUAUAGCAUGGCAUUAUUGCAUUCGUGAGGCAAGGCAUGGUUUUAUUAGUUGCAUAAUAAAGAUAUAUAUAUCUAUCUGUUUAUUGAACUAACUUGCAGUUGCCUCCCUUGGACCUAUUGGUCGAGCUUUUCCCUUGGGUGGCCGUAUCCACUGGGAAUCAUGGAAUUGGUUCUCACCCCACAUUAUUUUGGGGUGUUACAGGUUCACACGUGAGCGGCGCGGCGGCGCGAGGCGAGGGCGUAACUCCAUAGUUAGCGCCCUACCACCGAGACCAGAGAUAGCGGUACCCUGAGUCGGCUUUACUUAGGGAUGUAAGAAAAUGAAAGGAAUAAGAUUGUAAUAAUUUGUAAUAAAAGCAUGAUUGUAUUUGAAAGUUAAAUGUAUAAUAAAAUUGUGAUGUAAAAUGUAUCUAAAUAAUGUGAAUGCUUGUAAUAGCAAGUAGAUUAUGUUUUUGAUACUUUCUUAUGCAAUCUUUGAUUGAAAUGUGUUCAUGGUUGGAACUUCGUACAUUGUAUUGAUUGCGACACCUUGAAUGUACAGAGGAGACUCUGUCCGCGGUACAGGAAAAACCCUGUCCGUUCGGCGGUCUGUUGCGACGCCGCGACCCAGCCAAAUAGGCGGGCGGUCGUGGGGCGUGACAGGAACCUUGUAUAGCUAAUUGUGGGGUUUUUGCCCUCGAAUUGUACUAUUUGGUGUGCGGCUGUCUCGAUACUCAAAAGUUAGUGUCCUGGUACAAAAUGGGAGUGUCAAGUGCUGUUCGAAGUGCUUCAGAUUACUCCGGGGUUGAAACAGACCCUAAAAUAUGAGCAAUCGAGAAAUUUUAGAUAUAGAAUCACAAAUUGUGUGAUGCGACUAUUUGUAGCAGUGUUUGGGCCUUAUAUGUUGGUCAUCCUUAAUAUCUUGUGUGUUCGGAGAUAGUAGGAGGGUUGAUGGUUGGUUCUAGAGUCGAAUUGGCAUGCCGUAGAUCCCAACGUAGUUCGGUUGAUGUUUUACAUACUUGUUUGCAUCACAUUUGUGUGUUGCUACCUAGGCACCCAAGUAGGUGUGCUUCAGGGCAGCGGAUGAUAUUUUGUGAGCUUUGUUACUCUUUGGGACAUUUCAUGGGAUUCGAAAGGGUUACAGUGUGUUGUCGGGUAUUUCCGGCAGGUUUCGAGAUUCAGUAAAGGUACCGAAUCUCAGUUGGUUUUCCGGGUUGUGUGAUAGGUAAUUUUAUGUCUCUUAGGGUUUGUUCAUAUCGAUUGUGAUUCUGUAGAUUUUUUAUAGGUCUAGGUAAUAUGUUGGAGCAUUGUUCGAGCUCGGUGCUCCACUAGAUUACAGGUGGGUACUUCGAUUCGAAGUCGGUCUAACGGGGCAGGCUCGGUGACUUCUUCUUUUUUUCCUUUUCUGUGGCUACAUAACUUAUCAUGAUUAUAUAUUCAGUAUCUUGCAUACUACUUGGUAUUCGUUGGUCUACUCUACUCUUGUUUCAUCUUGUAGCAUCAUGAUUGAUCUAGUUGUAAAGUAACAUUUUAGUGAUUGAUUAUCAUUGCAUGACUCCAUGAUCGGUGACAUUCAUACAUAGUGAUACGGUUAUAUAGACCUUAUAGGUUAGUGACACGGUGAUAUUCCUUCGGGAAUAUCAGACCUGGUUUGAUUCGAUAUGGUUGUAGAUUGUUGGUUCGGCUAUCUGCCGUUGUUGGCCGUUGAGCAUAUUGCAUCGAUCGCCAUAGCUUAUGAGUAUUUCAUGUACACCAGCGGUCUGAUCCACCGCAAGAGGAUAUUCUUUUCCAGAAAAUUAGUCGUACUUCUGACCCGUGAACUCUAGCGGCCUAUUGCUAGGGCCAUAUGCCAUUUAGAGCAGGCGUGGCAUUGCCUCAGGUUUUUAGACCAAUACGGCAGUUAAUUGGGUGUACUUGUACUAUUGAUUUUAGUUGACGCGUAGUUGUUUCUCCAUCUUCCUUUGUAGUUGCGGUUGUUCAUACUAUUGUUGCAGUUAUUUUCAGUUCAGUUAUCGUUGCUACCGCUCUAUUUUGACUGCUGAUUAUAGUUGUUCGUUACUUUAUUAUCUCACUUUACAGUAGUAGCUUGUUUUGUGAUUAUUGGUAGUUGUUAUUCAUUAUUAUUAUACCUGAAUUUGUUAUUACUAUUGUCAUUCCUUCCGUCUGCCGGUGUGUACAACUUACUAAUCGUCAGCUUACGAUACCUACUUGGAGGGGGAGACUUAUUUAUAUGCUCUCAGCCCCUAACUAUUUUUCAGGUAGCUCGGGUGAUGAGGGUCCAGACGGUGUGUGAGGACGAUUCUAGAUAGCGGUGUUUCGGAUUGGUCCCUUGUCGACAUCCACAUUCGUAGCCCUAGCUUAGUUCUCGAGUUUUGUUAUUAGUGUGGAUCUUUUCGUUGGUUUAGUAUGUAUCUACUAAUUAGAAAUAGUGAUUACAUGGUGGAUCUAAUCUUUGGUCAUCUGAUUUUUAUGCGGAUUAUUAGUUUUCCGCAAUUAUCUCCUUAUUAUAGUUAUUGUAUCUCUGUAUGAUUGUGGUGUGGUUGAUGUUUGUACUCUUGUGCUACACCGUGCACGUAUAGAAGAGGUCUAUGUGGUGGGUUUGUGUGCGCCAUGAGAGAUUUUUAAGGGUGUUAAAACAAAAAAUUAUGCGUUUUCCGCUUGUUUUUUCUUAAAAGGAUUCUCAAAAGAAUCCCGGGCGUGACAUUAUAAGUUUAUAACUAUAAUGUACAUAAGAGUAUUUUGAAAAAUUUUUAAUUAGUUAUAAUAUAAUUUUUUAAUCUUAAAAUUUUUAACAAUUAUAUAUUUUAAUUGAGUGAAAUAUUGUCUACCCGCUGCGAACCACAGUGUAACGCACUGGACCUUGCAAAUUGUGGGGUUCGAGUGAUUGAGUGCGUUCUGAACUUUUCCAGACUUUCUGGUAGGUCGUUGACUGUGUUCCGACCUAUGGUUCGAGUCCCGAGAAUUGUGGUUUAAAACCUUGCAUCAAAAUCCAAAAAUUUGGAUUUUUGGUCAGCUCUCGGAUAGCCUUCAGCAGGCCAUGUACCGGUACGAGUUCACUUGUUGUACCGGUACGGGGUUGAUGGCUGUACCGGUAUGGGCCCGCGUACCGGUACACAGACGGCUUUUCGGCCAAACCCGAGGCUCGGGUUUGCGUUUUCGUGGGUUGUGUACCGGUAUACAAACCCGUGUACCGGUACACAGUGCAGAUUGGGGCUGUUUCGUGGAGGGGUGUUUUUGCAAUUGUUGCAACACCUUUAUAAGUGACCCCAGCCCCCUUGGCUGCUCUCCUUGAGCUCUAAACAGGGAGAACAAGGUGAGUCUUCUCCUCUUGGUUUGAUCUCCAUUUUUUGGUGGUUUUUAUGGGUUUUGAUCUCUCUCCUUCUCUCCUUUUUGCUUUUUGCGGGUUUGCGACCAUUGGAGAAGCUUGAGAUCUUGGUGGGAGCUUAUUUGGAGAUCGUUUUACUACUUGCCAUUGUGCUCAUUCGCACAUGCUUGUGAGGGUCGCUCCCUACAAGCCGGCAUUCCGGAGAUAGCCAUCGCGAUUCAUAUUCGCCGUGCGGAAUUGAGCGCCGAAGUGGAUUGCCGCGGGACAGGCUUAUUCCUAGGGUGGGGAUGAUGACUACCACGGGGCCAUUAGGCUCGGCACCGGCCAGACAGCCUACGGAUGGAUUUUAGGGCCAUAGACAGCCUUCGGGUGGGUCUCUUCAGAUUUGACUUUGAGUAUUCAUUAUGACAUGUGGACAGAUGAUGACUUAGCGUACUACUUGGACAUUGACUAGAAUAGUAAACAACGAAACUUUACUAUUUCGCAUUGUGAACAUUAUGAUAGUUGGAGACUUUUACUUCAUGCAUAGUUGCUUCAUAUUUAUGCUAUUUAUGCUAAGUAGAGAUAUCAUGUUGUAGUAAGUUACAUUUUUACUUACCUUUCGCUUUUUUAUAUUUAUAGUCACUGACAUCUUUUGUAGCUUUGGGCCUUGUGGUGCAUUCACUGAAGUCAGUAAUUGCCCACUGGGAACUAUUUUUAAUAGUUCUCACGCCCUCGUUUUAUUGUUUACUUUUCAGAGCCUUCGGCACCGGCGGAGGCACGGGAUCGCGGCAAGGGGAUCGCUUAGUUAGCUAGUGAGGAGCGGUAUUUUGCCUAGGUGGUUUACUCUUUCUUUUGUAGUUGAGAGAGUGAGAGAUUUUUGUAUCCAUGUAUAGAGACCACCUAUAUAUCUACCUAUAGCACUUGUAUCUGGAAUUUUUUUGUAUCACUUUAUGAUUUAUUUAGUAGAUUUACAGUUUUAUCCUUAUCCCUUAUUGUAGCAUUUAGACAUUUAUUAUGCUCUGAUACUCCUAAAUGUCUUUUAUUAUUACUUUUAUUAUUGUUGUUUUUAGACGCCUUAUAUGUUGUAGACAUAUGGCGGGUCUGGGCACGCGCCGGGCGGGCUUCCGCUGGGUCCCGGGGCGUGACACACAGACCCUACACUAGUACAUAACGAAGAGGGACGGCAUACUUCUCUCACACGGUCCGAUCUCAUAGACCGUGUGCUGCGCUCAAGAUACGUGCCGUGUGUUUCACCUUUUGGGUUUUGAUUUCUGCUCUUUUUGAGCAGAAAACGAAACAAAAAAUUUUUCAAGAAUCCGUAAAAAAAAUUUUUAGAAAAAUUUUACAGACAACCAAAUAUUCGGAAAUUCGGGACAGUUUUAUAAGCAACCAAA
rnacentral:lncRNA from 1 species